GCGGUGAAAUGCGUAGAUAUGCGGAGGAACACCGAUGGCGAAGGCAAUCCCCUGGACCUGUACUGACGCUCAUGCACGAAAGCGUGGGGAGCAAACAGGAUUAGAUACCCUGGUAGUCCACGCCCUAAACGAUGUCAACUGGUUGUUGGACGGCUUGCUGUUCAGUAACGAAGCUAACGCGUGAAGUUGACCGCCUGGGGAGUACGGCCGCAAGGUUGAAACUCAAAUGAAUUGACGG
rnacentral:rRNA from 1 species